rnacentral:lncRNA from 1 species
UAGAGACUCUUGUAUUUUACAUCUAUAAAUAGGUAGUAUAUAGAUUAAUUUAAGUCUCAAUUGUUCAAGUCAAGUCUCAAAGUCAUUCGAGAUCAAGUGAUUUUUUUAUUUUAGAUGUUCAAUAAAAUUUUUUUUUGCCUUGAUUUUAUUUUUCUAUUUGAUUUGAUCUUAAGCUAAUAGUACUUUGUUACUAUUAUUUGAGAAAGGGUUACACUUACAUGUGAUUCUUCCUUUCUUCACAUGGUAUUAGAGUCAUAAGGAUGAUAAUAUGUAUUUUCAAGAUCUUUUCGGUGAGGAAGAUAAUAUUUUU